CUCCAUCCCCCGCCGCUGUUUUCGUGCAGUGUUAGUGUCCUGGCGUGCGCGUCGCCCACUUUACCGCUGUCAUGAGGCAAAGUCUGGAAGAAUCCUAAUUCUAGACGCUCGUGUCCAAAAGUUAAGCAAAAAGUGGGAACACCUGAGUGUAGAUGUCUUGUAUGUCAGAGAACCUCGAAGUGGAAGAGGAAGCAGUGACGUCUGCCGUCCACCCGGGAGGGGCGGGGACCCACUGAAGGGUCCAGGACCCUGGAGCCUGCCCUGGGCGGCACCGUGAGAAGCGGGCUGGGUCCCUCGCCCCGCGCAGGCUCCUGAGACCACCCCGCCGCCAGACACGGGGAUUGCAGUCAGACAGUGAAAUACUCACGAUGAGGCUCGAUAUUACGUCUGGAGUCCCUCCAAGUUGCACACAGCGGUGGAUGGCUUGUUUUCAGUGAUACAGAAAAGUCCUGUGUAUAUUUGGGAAUAUCUAACCCAAGGCCUCAUGCAUGCUAGGCAAGCACUGUACCGCGGAGCCACGCCCCCAGCCCAUGUUAUUUUAUUUUGAAAUGGGAUUUAACUGUUGUCCAGGCUGGCCUUGAACUUGCAGUCCUUUGGCCUCAGCCAUGUUUCCAAUCUGGGGCUGUUGUAAUGGUGCUCUUUGUUUUCUUGUAUGUGGAUCUGAUGGACAUGCACGUGGAGUCUUUCCUGGAGUGGAGCUGCUGGGACUUGGAGUAUGAUAGCAUAAAUAGGUAGAGCCUUGAAGUCAUGGUAACCGGCACUCCAUUGAGGCGCUGUGUAAGAGCGCCUCAGCUUCACAGGUCUUGCGAGUUUAGUGAUUCUGAUGUAGUGUGUAGAAGUGUAGUGAUCCUGUUGGGUGUGAAGAGGUGUUGAACUAUUGCCGUGAUUGGCUUUUCUCUCAUAACUAAUAAAAGCCGAGAACCAUUUUGUAUGUA